rnacentral:rRNA from 1 species
UACGUAGGGGGCUAGCGUUGUCCGGAAUUAUUGGGCGUAAAGAGCUCGUAGGCGGUGUGUCGCGUCGGCCGUGAAAACCUGCAGCUUAACUGUGGGCUUGCGGUCGAUACGGGCAUCACUGGAGUUCGGCAGGGGAGACUGGAAUUCCUGGUGUAGCGGUGAAAUGCGCAGAUAUCAGGAGGAACACCGGUGGCGAAGGCGGCCUGCUGGGCAGUAGCUGACACUGAGGCGCGACAGCGUGGGGAGCAAACAGG